AAUCCCUUAUCGAGGAUCAAUUGGAGGGCAAGUCUGGUGCCAGCAGCCGCGGUAAUUCCAGCUCCAAUAGCGUAUAUUAAAGUUGUUGCAGUUAAAAAGCUCGUAGUUGGAUUUCUGGUGGGGGUCGCUGGUCGGGCUCGCAAGGGUCUGUACCGCUGCGGACUCCCGCCAUCCUUGGGGAGAGCCAUCCUGGCAUUAAGUUGUCGGGGUGGGGAUCCUCAUCUUUUACUGUGAAAAAAUUAGAGUGUUCAAAGCAGGCUCAGGCCGUUGAAUACAUUAGCAUGGAAUAAUAAGAUAGGGCCUUGGUGGUCUAUUUUGUUGGUUUGCACGCCAGGGUAAUGAUUAAUAGGGAUAGUUGGGGGUAUUCGUAUUCGAUUGUCAGAGGUGAAAUUCUUGGAUUUAUGGAAGACGAACUACUGCGAAAGCAUUUACCCAGGAUGUUUUCAUUAAUCAAGAACGAAAGUUAGGGGAUCGAAGAUGAUUAGAUACCAUCGUAGUCUUAACCAUAAACUAUGCCGACUAGGGAUCGGUGGGCGCAAUCAAAGGCCCCAUCAGCACCUUAUGAGAAAUCAAAGUCUUUGGGUUCCGGGGGGAGUAUGGUCGCAAGGCUGAAACUUAAAGAAAUUGACGGAAGGGCACCACCAGGAGUGGAGCCUGCGGCUUAAUUUGACCCAACACGGGGAAACUUACCAGGUCCAGACAUAGUAAGGAUUGACAGAUUGAGAGCUCUUUCUUGAUUCUAUGGGUGGUGGUGCAUGGCCGUUCUUAGUUGGUGGAGUGAUUUGUCUGGUUAAUUCCGUAACGAACGAGACCCCCGCCUGCUAAAUAGGGCACCGUAUGUUUAACAUAUGGUGGAACUUCUUAGAGGGACUUUUGGUGACUAACCAAAGGAAGUUGGGGGCAAUAACAGGUCUGUGAUGCCCUUAGAUGUCCUGGGCCGCACGCGCGCUACACUGAUGCGUUCAACGAGUCUAUAACCUUAGUCGGAAGGCUUGGGUAAUCUUGGAACGCGCAUCGUGAUAGGGGUAGAUUAUUGCAAUUAUUAAUCUUGAACGAGGAAUUCCUAGUAAACGCGGUUCAUCAGACCGCAUUGAUUACGUCCCUGCCCUUUGUACACACCGCCCGUCGCACCUACCGAUUGAAUGAUUCGGUGAAGAUUCCGGACUGGGGCCCCUUGAUUCGUCUCGGAGUCCUAGGAAGCUAUCUAAACCUCAUCAUUUAGAGGAAGGUGAAGUC
rnacentral:rRNA from 1 species